rnacentral:rRNA from 1 species
GGGUACACGAGCGGCGAACGGGUGAGUAACACGUGGGUGAUCUGCCUUGCACUUCGGGAUAAGCCUGGGAAACUGGGUCUAAUACCGGAUAUGACCACGAACUGCAUGGUUUGUGGUGGAAAGAUUUAUCGGUGCGAGAUGGGCCCGCGGCCUAUCAGCUUGUUGGUGAGGUAACGGCCCACCAAGGCGACGACGGGUAGCCGACCUGAGAGGGUGACCGGCCACACUGGGACUGAGACACGGCCCAGACUCCUACGGGAGGCAGCAGUGGGGAAUAUUGCACAAUGGGCGAAAGCCUGAUGCAGCGACGCCGCGUGCGGGAUGACGGCCUUCGGGUUGUAAACCGCUUUUGACAGGGACGAAGCGCAAGUGACUGUACCUGUAGAAUAAGGACCGGCCAACUACGUGCCAGCAGCCGCGGUAAUACGUAGGGUCCGAGCGUUGUCCGGAAUUACUGGGCGUAAAGAGCUUGUAGGCGGUUCGUCGCGUCGUUUGUGAAAACUUGGGGCUCAACCUUAAGCUUGCAGGCGAUACGGGCGGACUAGAGUACUUCAGGGGAGACUGGAAUUCCUGGUGUAGCGGUGAAAUGCGCAGAUAUCAGGAGGAACACCGGUGGCGAAGGCGGGUCUCUGGGAAGUAACUGACGCUGAGAAGCGAAAGCAUGGGUAGCAAACAGGAUUAGAUACCCUGGUAGUCCAUGCCGUAAACGGUGGGUACUAGGUGUGGGGCUCCUUCCACGGACUCCGUGCCGUAGCUAACGCAUUAAGUACCCCGCCUGGGGAGUACGGCCGCAAGGCUAAAACUCAAAGAAAUUGACGGGGGCCCGCACAAGCGGCGGAGCAUGUGGAUUAAUUCGAUGCAACGCGAAGAACCUUACCUGGGUUUGACAUACACCGGAAACCUGCAGAGAUGUAGGCCCCCUUGUGGUCGGUGUACAGGUGGUGCAUGGCUGUCGUCAGCUCGUGUCGUGAGAUGUUGGGUUAAGUCCCGCAACGAGCGCAACCCUUAUCUUAUGUUGCCAGCGCGUAAUGGCGGGGACUCGUGAGAGACUGCCGGGGUCAACUCGGAGGAAGGUGGGGACGACGUCAAGUCAUCAUGCCCCUUAUGUCCAGGGCUUCACACAUGCUACAAUGGCCGGUACAGAGGGCUGCGAUACCGCGAGGUGGAGCGAAUCCCUUAAAGCCGGUCUCAGUUCGGAUCGGGGUCUGCAACUCGACCCCGUGAAGUUGGAGUCGCUAGUAAUCGCAGAUCAGCAACGCUGCGGUGAAUACGUUCCCGGGCCUUGUACACACCGCCCGUCACGUCAUGAAAGUCGGUAACACCCGAAGCCGGU